GACAGAGGGUGCAAACGUUGUUCGGAAUUACUGGGCGUAAAGCGCGUGUAGGCGGCUUGGCAAGUCAGUUGUGAAAGCCCGGGGCCCAACCCCGGAACUGCAUCUGAAACUGCCUGGCUAGAGUCCCGGAGAGGAAGGCAGAAUUCCCGGUGUAGGGGUGAAAUCCGUAGAUAUCGGGAGGAAUACCAGCGGCGAAGGCGGCCUUCUGGACGGUGACUGACGCUGAGACGCGAAAGCGUGGGGAGCAAACAGG
rnacentral:rRNA from 1 species